rnacentral:snRNA from 1 species
GUGCUUUCUUCAGCAGCACAUACACUAAAAUUGGAGUGAUACAGAGAAGAUUAGCAUGGCCACUGCACAAGGAUGACACAGAAAUUCAUGAAGCAUUCCAUAAAAAU